rnacentral:rRNA from 1 species
AACGAACGCUGGCGGCAUGCCUAACACAUGCAAGUCGAACGAGACCUUCGGGUCUAGUGGCGCACGGGUGCGUAACGCGUGGGAACCUGCCCUUAGGUUCGGAAUAACUCCCCGAAAGGGGUGCUAAUACCGGAUAAUGUCUUCGGACCAAAGAUUUAUCGCCUUUGGAUGGGCCCGCGUUGGAUUAGCUAGUUGGUAGGGUAAAAGCCUACCAAGGCGACGAUCCAUAGCUGGUCUGAGAGGAUGAUCAGCCACACUGGGACUGAGACACGGCCCAGACUCCUACGGGAGGCAGCAGUGGGGAAUAUUGGACAAUGGGCGAAAGCCUGAGCCAGCAAUGCCGCGUGAGUGAUGAAGGCCUUAGGGUUGUAAAGCUCUUUUACCCGGGAUGAUAAUGACAGAACCGGGAGAAUAAGCUCCGGCUAACUCCG